UCCCACACCGGUUACAUUUGCAAGUUAUUUAGUGUUUAUAUAACACACACAAUCCACUUUCUAUUGUCCCUUCGGGGACAUCUGAUAAAAUUGGAACGAUACAGAGAAGAUUACCAUGGCCCCUGCGCAAGGAUGACACGCACAAAUCGAGAAAUGGUAAUGAUUUGUCUAUUCUGUGAAUUUUUGUCACUCUUCAAGCUUAUAUGUGGAAGGUAACAUUAGGUUUAGGGUUGAUCAAAUUAUUUUUGUCACUCUUCAAGCUUGCUUAUAUGUGGAAGGUAACAUUAGGUUUAGGGUUGAUCAAAUUCUGAAAACUUAUGUAUUUAUUUGCUUAUAUGUGGAAGGUAACAUUAGGUUUAGGGUUGAUCAAAUUCUGAAAACUUAUGUAUUUAUUUGCUUAUAUGUGGAAGGUUCGAAAGCACAUAGUCAUCUUCAAGUCUUCUCAGCUUUUAAAGCCAAUAAUCCUCAAACCUGGUGUUCCUUUUCAUCUAUGCUUUGGCAUGCCCAAUAUAAACCAGAUUGAUGCCACCACAAUCCACACUCCAAUGCUCUUUUAAUUUUUCUUUCAGAUUUUAAUUGGGCUACUGUCCCUACUUUUAGAAAGUCUUAUACUGGCUACUGUACCUUUAUUGGAUCAUAUCUAAUCUCCUUGAAACCAUUGAAGCAAUCUACACUCUCUAGAUAAAGUCCAGAAGCUCAAUAAUUUUCAUGAACAAACCUUGUGCGCGGGAAUGGCUCCAUUUUCUAUUUGAAGGUUUCUGCUUUACUUUCCACAAACCUACGUCCAACUUCUGCAAAGUCAAAUCACCAGUCCCCAAGCUUUGUCUCUCAGACAUCCACAGUCCAGCUGGUGGGGAAGUAUUAUCAUUACAUUAAAGAGAUUUAGCGUGUUCAUCAAUUUGAUUUCUGUUGGUGAGUUUUGCGGACACUAUACACAGAGAGGCUAACCAGGUAGCUAAUAGUUUAGAAAAGGAUGGCUUGAGUUUGGACUCUAGUCUCCAGAUUUUUUAGUCUGUUCCUGCUUGUGCUUGAUAAUACCCGUUUAUGCAGCAAUAGCAACUUUUGACUAAUUCUCCUCUGAAGAUUUCAUGUCAUCUUUUUGUUAACAUCAGUGAAAGUUGUCUAAUUAUCGCCAAAUAGGCGUUCCUUGUUUUUUCCGCAGGUUGGAAAGCACAACAUCAUAGCCCGAGCUUUUAAAGCCAAUAAUACUCAAAGCUGGUGUUCUCCUUUGGAUUGUUUAUGCUCAAGUUUUAUUUAACUGCGCAUCAUGAUUAAAGCCUCCUAUUAAUAUUUUAGAAACUGUCACAGAAAAAAGUUGGUGCAAAGUUGGUGGAGUGUUGGGAGUUGAAAAAGUGGGUGUUGAGUG